UUCAUAUUUUUACAGCAUUCUAGCAAAAAUGUCUAGCAGGAUUCUGGCCGAACUGAGCUGGUGUUUUCGAGACUGGGUUAGCACGGACACCCACCAUUUACACACUAGAUAAAAACUAGUAAUUGAAUUAAAUUUUAUUCUUUCGAUCUUACUAUUUUUUAUUUAUUUUUGUGAACGUGUAAGAUAUCCAGAAUUCAGCUCAAUAGUGCUCAUUUUAUUUUAUCGUGCAAUGUUUGUUUCGCUUAGUUGUUUUUUUUCUGCAGUUUUUAAAACCAACUGAUCGCGAGUGUUUGUGGUACAGAUCUCCGUUGUCAUCCGUUGUAGGUGGUCAUCCAACAGCUGAAUUGUGGCUACUUCCAAAACUGCUCAUCACCGGAGGCGCCGAUCCUUGAGUCGCGGCUGUACACCCGGCAGACGGACAGUUCGGUGCAACAUUUUCGGUUAAACGCUUGAGGUUCAAAACCAAGCAGGCAUGCAAGGACGUUCUUUCUCAUCAUCACCAAACAGUUCGUGGAGAACACCAAGGUCGUAGCCGAUGGACCAAUUGCUGCCGACAAGUUUUUUUUAUCGUUAGAACUCGGACAUCCCGUAGUUUUCGGAAAUCCGGCGUCUACGAUGAACAGUUAUUGCAUAAACUACGACCUGCACGAGCCUGACCAGCAGAUACCUCCGGACGUGGCUAUUUUCCUACCGGUUCCCAAGCACUGGACCGUAGCCGGCUUCUAGUUGCAGAUUAUGGUCCAGAGUUGCUUCCUGUGACGCAUUGGCCCAUCUGUUCACGAAUAGUAACGGUGUCAACCUGGACAGCAUAUUUUUUUGGACAUUUUUUUUCGUUGAGACCAUUCAUAAGAACGAUCUCGCAAAGACCCUACAAGGAGGCGUCUAUUUCUAUGAUUUCGUCCAAGCGCCGCAAGCUGAAAGACCUCCGUUUGACGACAUUCCGGCGCUUAUCGACGGCAUGAUCGAUCAUCACGUUAAUGCAGUACAGGUACACUAUGGUCAACCGAUGACGUUUCAAAUGAAACCGUAAGUAGAAGUUUUUAGUAUAUGUUUUCCUAAAUACACUUUGAUUUCAGCAAAGUUGUCGACAACACACUUUUUAUUCCUCUUUCAAACCCCGUUGAAUUUAGAUUUUGAUGUUUUUUCUCAUAAGCUUGAACUUGUAUUGUUCUUCAAAAACCUUUAAAUUGUGCGCUUUUGCUAUGUGUUGAGCUUAAAUUAAUUCAAUACAUAAUCAUAAGCAUGCAUUUUAGAGACUGUUUUGUGCCAAUACAAAACGCAAUGCAUUUGAAAAUUACAUCAGAUUCUGAAUUCAACGGGGUAAAAAAAUUUACAUCUCGGGUAAAUUUACGUUCAUUUCAUCGGAAAUUUACAUGUUUUCAAGUCCCUUUUAGCCUGGCUCGUUUACGUUGGAUGGCAUGUAAAUUUCAAAUGAAACUAAUUUAAAUUUACAUCAU